rnacentral:lncRNA from 1 species
CGCGAGCGUACGGAAAGGGGAGGUAGGGGAGAGCCCCGGAGGAUGUGAGUGGGGAGGGGGCAGUCGCCCCCCUUUCCCCCACCCUUCCCUUCUAGCUGGGCUGGGGUGGGGGGAGGGGCCGGGCUGAGGCGGUGGCGGCUCGCUCCGGUAGGGCAGGGCCGGCAAGGGCGGGACUGGCCUGCUGCGGGCGGACGAGGGAGACGCGGAGCUAACGGGUCCGGACGUCGGCGGCAGCGGCGGCGGCUGCGGCGGCUUUCUGCACGGGCGGAGGCGGCGGCAGGAUCGGCGAGCAUGGCCCGCGCGGCGCCCAGGGCUGACUGAGGGUCAUGCUACAGCAGCCCCGCACCUGAGAAGUGAGGGGGAAACUGAGGGGGGCUUGCUGCUAGCAGGAGCUAACAGCAAGACAGCAGGACAGCUGGAUGGCUUGGCGUCAGGGGAGCAGGGAUGGGAAAAGCAGCCUCUGAGCUCGGGCCGGCAAUACCAGGAAAGAGGCCUGGGCCCUGGCAGGGAGAUCGACACACGCUCGGCUGACCCAGACUGCAUUCGAAGCAGCACCCCGCAGAACAGCAGCUGCGCCCAGGCCCCAGAGGACCCCAUUGCUGGAGCAGGAGGUCUGUAACCCCUUACACAACUGCAGUUGGGGCUGUGACCAUUAGGAGAAAGGACCUACACCUCGUACAGGAAGUGGAAGGGCAGAACCUAACACAAGGAGGAGCUUGGUCUCUGCAGCAGAGUUUUCUGACACCCACAGAGCUUCCUGGGUUUCUUCUCUCAGGGUUGGGGCCUGGUUCCCCUCCCUUGGUGGAAGGGUGGACACCUCUUGCAUGGAAUCAAGGCUGCUUGAAGCCCACAUUUUCUCUGUUGUGAUUGAGGUUCAAGGGCUUCCCCGCUGCAGGGGACGGGGGGCUGCCUCGGCAUCUGCUCAUGAGCCACAAGGACCCCGAAUGCUCCAGACUGGACUGUUUCAAGCCGCCAAAAAGGGGCGCCCCCAGAGUUGGCAGCCAGCAACCCCAAGGGACUAGAAGGCUGGAAUGGACUGACCUUCCCCUCCUCAGGGCGGUGGGAGAGGCAGAGCAUCUGUGGCCCAGCUAGUGACGGAGAGACCCAAUGAAGCCAUAAGCAGGAGCCCAAGUGUCUCAGGGAGAGGGGAGCCACGCUUGCCUUGCGCUUUCUCCUCACACUGGAAGAGGGUGUGGCCUGGGACUCCUGCGGCUAGCUCCUCUUUGGCACACGCCCUUAUGCCCUUUGUACCCCGUGCUAGAACAAGCAGGCUACGCUGUGGCUGGCCCACUGGUGGACUGGGAAAGGAGUGGCCUCAGUGACACCCGGCCGCCCACCGGGCUGGUGGUCUGG